rnacentral:lncRNA from 1 species
AAAUUAGUUGUUUUAAAAAGUGAGGGAGUAAACAGUAAUAUUAAUGCAAACUUGCUGAUUGCAGGUACUCAAAAAAUAGUUACAAACUUGUAUUUUAUAUAUAGCUUAUAAUAUUUUAGACUUCUGGAAUGACCAUGUCCCACUUUCUUUUUAAUCCCUAACUUUUAUUUAUUCAUUUUCUAUUUCUAUAGUUUUUGGGGUACAGUGGGUUUUGUUUACUUGGACACAUUCAUUAGUGGUGAUUUCUGAUAUUUUGGUGCAUCCAUCACCGGAGCAGUGUACACUGUACCCAAUAUGUAGUCUUUUAUUUCUCAACUUCUCCCAAUCUCUCCCCCAUCCCCAAAGUCCAUUAUUCAUUCUUAUGCCUUUGUAUCCUCAGCGCUUAGCUCCCACUUGUAAGUGAAAACAUGAUAUUUGGUUUUCCAUUCCUGAGUUACGUCUCUUAGAAUAAAUGGCCUCCACUUCCAGCCAAGUUGCUGCCAGAGACAUUAUUUGGUUUCUUUUUAUGACUGAGUAGUAAUCCAUAGGGCAUAUAUACCACAUUUUCUUUAUCCACUCGUUGGUCGAUGGGCAACAAGUUUGGUUGCCUAUUUUUGCAACUGUGAAUUGGACAGGCCUGUGCAUGUGGUCUUUCUCGUAGAAUGACUUCUUUCCCUUUGGGUGAAUACCCAGUAGUGGGUUAAACCCUAACUUUUAAUGUUUACCUUAAUUUUAAAAAUACAAUCACCCAAAACCAAAAAUGAAUAAAUUAUAACUCCAUUCCACACUUGGAUAAAUCUCACAAACCUACUCAAAGAAGCUAAACUCGGAAGAGUAUACAGAAUAUUACUUCAUUUCAUAAAACUUAAAAACGAGGAAAUCCCCCUUGUUUUUGGUAUCAGAAGUCCAAUAGUGAUUAUUCUGGGUGUGCCAAUAGCGUUGUUUCUUUUUCUAUUUUUUGUUUUUUCUUUUGAGACAAAAUCUCGCUCUGUCACCCAGGCUGGAGUGCAAUGACAUGAUCUCAGCUCACUGCAACCUCUGCCUCCCAGGUUCAAGCGAUUCUCCCACCUCAGCUUCCCAAGUAGCUGGGACUACAGGCGCACACCACCAUGCCUGGCUAAUUUUUUGUAUUUUUAGUAGAGACGGGGUUUCACCAUGUUGGCCAGGCUGAUCUCAAAUUCCUGACCUCAAGUGAUCCACCCGCCUCGGUCUCCCAAAGUGCUGAGAUUACAGGCAUGAGCCACCGUGCCCUGCCACAUUCUGUUUCUUAAUCUACAAUACAUUUGAAACAGAAGACUUUCAAAAUGUAUGUAAUGACCCUGUGUGUAUUCCACUGGUUUGGAAAAUAAAACAGAUUGAUUUCAGUCACAUGAAGCUACUUGAAAGUAGGUUACAUUUAAUGAAUUAAAAGCUAGUUGUUUCUAGCUUCACUAAUCUUGUAAAAAGAAUCAAUUCCACCCCACCCCUAAAGUUAGUAGAUAGAU